rnacentral:rRNA from 1 species
GCKKUKKGUUUAUUAAUAAAAAGUMUGUUCUGCUCGGUSAUUUUUAMCAGCCGCGGUACUUUGWCCGWGCAAAGSUAGCAUAAUCACUUGCCUCGUAAUUGGGGGCUGGAAUGAAUGAAUAAACAAAGGSUUAACUUUAUUUUUUAGAUUAAAGGAAUUUUCUUUUUUAGUGAAGAAGCUMAAAUAWGUAAAAGGGACAAGAAGACCCUUUUGAGCUUUACUAUAUUUUUCUUUUUUAGGAUUCUUUAGUUUGSUUGGGGCGACCAAGGAAAUAGAUCUUCCUUAUUAAUUUUGAUCCGUUUAUAACGAUUAAAAGAAUAAGUUACCAAAGGGAUAACAGCGUAAUUUUUUUUGAGAGUUCUUAUUAARUAAAGKGAUUGCSMCCUSGAUGUUGA